CUUCCUUUCUCGCUCCCCGGCCAUCUUGGCGUCUGAUCUUGGUGAGUGAGCUCUGCUGGGUAGAGGACUAGGCGGCUCGGGGAGCUCCGCUAGUUGGUGUUUGACGCUCUGUAUCAUAAUCCUCACUUCUGCCCUCUGUGUAUUCUAGGUUGGGGCUUGUCCCGCACCUAAGGCAAGAGGAUGGUGGCUGCAAAGAAGACGGUAAGUGAAGCCGACCGAGCCCGGAAGCCGCUUCACGUGGAGAGCUGGGUCUGGGCCGGGGCGGAUAGAUCUGAGCACACUGGGUGGAUUGCAUGCCGCUGACGUUUCAGGGUUUCAAAGUGAAUCCGAGAGGCCCUACGUGACUUCGCAGGCAUCAUUAAAGUGUUCAAUUCCAGAAAUUUGGAACUGGGUUUGGUUUUGAGAUGGCUGCGAGUGGUUUUCAAGUCUCAAAUGUUUGCAUUGUAGAAAAAGUCUCUGGAGUCAAUCAACUCUCGGCUCCAACUUGUUAUGAAAAGUGGAAAGUACGUGCUGGGGUACAAACAGACUCUGAAGAUGAUCAGACAAGGCAAAGCGAAAUUGGUUAUCCUCGCCAACAACUGUCCAGCUUUGAGGUAAUGGAGGGAAUAUGAAUGUAUGUGGCUUAUUGUAGAUUCCAGCAUUGGGAAGAAUAAUGAUGGUUGUUUUCUGAUGUUUGGACCCUGAUUUGUGUGUGUAUUCUUCUGUAAGUGUAAAUACACAGUGUGUAACAGGUCGCAUACAAAUGAUAACACGCAGGUUCAGGGAAGCACGGUGGCUUUUCCCACGUAUCUGGAACAUCCCUAUUUUUGAUCGUCUUUCAAGAUUUGAAGUGUUAACACUCCAUUGCUGUGCGUGUUUUAGUUUUAAAAAAUUUCAGCUAAAUUCAUAAAGUCACCUAUUAGCAGGGUCCAAUUUUUUGAACAUUAGUUUAUUCUUGAUUAACCAUUUUAACUUGAGCAUAGUAUUUUAAGUAAGCUAAAGAAACUUGUAUAGUAUAAGCCUCUUGACUUUUCUAUGGUGAUUGCACACCUUCAUUCUUUUAUGUAGUUCAGACUUAGUGGUCCAGUCUGGGGCUUGAAGUUCAUUUCUCAUAAGCACUUUGGGGCACUGUUGAUGGUCUAUGGGCCACAUAAUAAGCUCAAGUUUCUGUGGAACUUUCACAUCUUAACCAUUUGAAUCCAUUAACCUGGCACUGAAGUGUUUAUUCUUUGAGUAAUAGUAUCAGCAGUCCUUACGCAGUGGUCAGUAUGUAGUAGGUGGUAAGGUGGCUUAUCUAUCUUUUUUACACUUUUUACCCUCCAUUCCAAUUCCUAUUCCACCCCUCGUUCCUAUUAGUCUUUGCCUCAGUUUGUUAAGAUGGAGUAUAUAAUACUUGUUGCUGACAUGAGAAAUAACACCCUUUGAGAAUCCAGAAGAUUCUCCUGGAGCUGGAGUUAAGUAGUUGUGAGGCAGCUGGUGUGAGUGCUGGGAACAGAACUUUGUUAAGAGCAGCACAGGCUGUCAGUGUACCAGGCCAGCAUUGACUUUUUUAUGUCUAUUAUCCCUUUUCUAGUACUUUAGACACCAUUUUUUCCUGUGGUUUCUAAGUAACUUAUUUCAAACACAUUUUAAACGUAUUUAGUAAAUUGAAACAUGAAUACAAUGUAUUUAGUACCGAAUACUACCUCAACAAAGUAGGUAUUUAGUAGAAAAGUACAGUAUACACUAGUAAAGGAUCUAUGAUCUUUUUUUUUUUUUUUUUGGUUCUUUUUUUCGGAGCUGGGGACCGAAUAUGAUCUUUUUUUUUAAAGCCUCACCAAUUUGUAGUGAAUCUGUCAAUACCUUUGUAUGGGGUUUUGUCUGACUUUUUGUUGUUGUUCCCCCAAGGAAAUCUGAAAUAGAAUACUAUGCCAUGUUGGCUAAAACUGGUGUCCAUCACUACAGUGGCAAUAACAUUGAAUUGGGCACAGCGUGUGGAAAAUACUACAGAGUAUGCACACUGGCUAUCAUUGACCCAGGUGAUUCCGAUAUUAUUAGAAGCAUGCCAGAACAGACUGGUGAGAAGUAAACAAGAAAGUUCUCCUUUAAUAAAACUUUGCCAGAGCUCCUUUUAAAAAAUAUGGUGUCUGGGCUUCUUCUUGUUUGGCUUUCUUGAAACCACUGGCAAGACUUGGGUGAAAGUUAUGUAUACUGCCUGGUUUCCAUUUUGCUGGGGUUUUGUUAAAAGAUUGUACACUGUUUAUCAUUAUGCAAAAUGUGUUUCUGAGUAUAUUUCGGAUAUUGAAAUACACAUUUGUGUUGAUCUAAUAUCUAAUCAAGGUUGGUUGGUGUUUUUACCACUUUUGUAUACUGAGGCAAGUCUCCCUUAAACCCUGAGUUUGGCAAUGCCAGCUAGCCUAGCCAACUUCCUCUGGGGGAUCUCUCCGGAUACCCAGAGUGAUAGAAUUGCAGGCUAGCACCUGCCACUUACUUUACAUGGGUGCUGGAGGUUCAGCCUCAGUCCUCAAGCUUGCACAAAAAGCUUUGCCUCUAAGCUGUUACCCCAGCUCCUUAUAAAGACCGGCCAGUCUCAGGCUGUUUGCAUUGUUUUUGGGUCUUAGAGGCACUGGCAUACCAAGACUUGUGAUGGGCAAAAGCUGUGGACUUUGCGUGCUACUUAAAUUGAUUUAGAACUAUUUUCCUUUUCAAAUUAUUUCCUACUUAGUUCCUUAAAAUAUGGUAGUUUCUGUGUUGUGACUUGGCUACAGGCAUUUAAAUAUUUUUUUUGAUGUGUGGUUUCUAGGGCUUUGUAGGUACUGAUAAUAGGGUAUAAGGUAAUUUAAAAAAUUUUUUUGUGUAGUCAUUGUGUUUGUAAGAAGGGUUUAAAACACAGGAAAGUUUAAAGCGAGAUGGUAGGAAGCAUACCGUACUUUGUUGUUUCGUGAUUCUUAAAAGAAGUGCCUUACUAAUGUUAUUGAGGGGAAAAGGUCACUGUCCCAAAUCAAGAGUGGUGAAAAAUGGCAUUUUAAAUGUGCAGGGAUUCUAGCUAGCUACAUUUAGUCCACAGCUCUACUGGUUGGGUGUGGAGUACGUUGAUUGCAAGCAGCACUCUGUGGCAUAUGAACAAAACUGUUGACAGAAUUUGAGCUUGCUAUAGCAAAAAAGUCUUAACCUAUAGUGUUCUCUUCCUCAUGAGAUAAGCCGGUAAAUAAACUCCAAACAAUAGAUAAGAAAAAAAGAGUCAUGAUUGGAGUUAGUUGUAUAAUAUGUAAGAUAGUCACAUCUCAUGGAAAGGUUCUCUGGUUCAUUUUUGGAACUUUGUUCUUUUGCCGACAAUGGCAACAGUUUCCUGCCCCAAUUCUGGGCUUACCUGUAUUUGAUCUAGGUGCCACCUAGUUAAAAUUGAUCUUUUCCCCCUUAAGCAGCAUGAGUCACCUCUCACUAAACUACAGUCUUAGAGCUAAGGAUUCAUUCAGCAUUUUCAUUUUACGUCACGUAAACAAUUUGAAUAUUUUCCAGUGCUUAAACAGUUCCCCAUUAGACUUGAGACUAUCUAGUCCAGAACUUAAUUUUGUCUUGUUAAUAGUAAUUUUUCAAUAUUGUGUUUAUUUAUCAUUUAAUUUGCUAUUUCAUCUGGUUCAGAGUCAAAGCAAACAAGAUGGUCCUUAUCUACUCAGUAUAAACCUCCCUAAGCCCUAUCUUGUGAGUGACCAGUGGUGAAGAAUAAAAUUGUUACAACUAAUACUGAGCAUUUAAGACGUUGAGAGAUUGCUGUACACUCUUCUCCUCUGGGCACUUGCAUAUGUAGCAUUUGCUUGAAUGCAUGCCUUUUUUUAUGAAGAUUCUGAGUGAAGUUAUGCUUAUCUGUGUACCACUUGCAUGCAUGGUCCCCAUUGAGGCCAGCAGAGGGCAUUGGAUUCCCUAAACCCUGGAUCAUCUGCAAAAACAAGUGCACUUAAUUGCCAGGCCAUCCAUCCAGCACAAAGAUGUAUUUAGCUGUGUGUGUGCAUUUUGCCUAUGUGCAUUUAAGUGCACCACGUGUAUGUCUAGUGCUUAAAGAGUCCAGGUGCUGCUCUUGGGUCCCAGGAACCGAGUCACAGAUGUUGAUAACAGCAAGUACACCUACCCAUCAAGCAUGAUUCAUUUAAAAAUGUGCAGAUUUGCUUAAUUAUUUUAAAAGAUUAUUUUAUGUGCACCUCUGUUUUGCCUGUGCAUGUCUGUGAAGGUGUUUAUCCUGGAACUGGAGUUACAGGUAGUGGUGAGCUGUCAUGUAGCUGCUUGGGAAUUGAACCUGGGUCCUGUGCAAGAACAGCCAGUGCUCUUAGCUGCUAAGCCAUCUCACCUCCCCAGCCCUAUGAGUUUUUUUUUUUUUUAAAGUCUUAAACUUUACUUACCAUGUCUACACGUGAGUAUGCAUGCCUGAUGAGGCGUUUGAUGGCUUAUAACUGGAGUUACUGGUAACAACACAGCUGCCUGGUGUGGGAACCCAGUUCAGCAGCAGUCACUAUCUAGUCCCUAAUCUAUAACCUGGUGGAUUGGCUGCAGGCUUGUGCAUUGUAUGUGGCAUCAAGGAGAAAAGGGUAGGGAUGGUUUUGUGCAGCUAGAGGGAGG
rnacentral:lncRNA from 1 species